GUUCGGCGUGUCAAUGGUUUAUCAUCUUCUACCUUGUCGGCCUGGUAAAGUUCGUACAGUAAGUGCUUCAAGCUCUAGAUUGUGCACAAGUCUUGGGAAUGGUACACGAAAGGAUCAUCCAACGUGAUAAGGAGCGACAUGACAAUGAAGGCAAGGACACAUGAGCUUAUAAGCUACUAUCACCAUUAGAUCCUAGUUUUUCUAGGCUUUAGUUCUUUGGUUUUGUGGUACAAUUUGUACUUUUGAUUAUUGAUUAUGUUUUGUAAUAUUUAGUUAGUAACAUUUAUGUACUAUGGAUUUUGGUUAGUAACAUUAUCAUGGAAUUUGGU